rnacentral:rRNA from 1 species
AUUGAACGCUGGCGGCAUGCCUUACACAUGCAAGUCGAACGGUAACGAGCCUUCGGGUGCCGACGAGUGGCGCACGGGUGAGUAAUACAUCGGAACGUGCCCGAUCGUGGGGGAUAACGAGGCGAAAGCUUUGCUAAUACCGCAUACGAUCUACGGAUGAAAGCAGGGGACCGCAAGGCCUUGCGCGGACGGAGCGGCCGAUGGCAGAUUAGGUAGUUGGUGGGAUAAAAGCUUACCAAGCCGACGAUCUGUAGCUGGUCUGAGAGGAUGAUCAGCCACACUGGGACUGAGACACGGCCCAGACUCCUACGGGAGGCAGCAGUGGGGAAUUUUGGACAAAGGGCGCAAGCCUGAUCCAGCCAUGCCGCGUGCAGGAUGAAGGCCUUCGGGUUGUAAACUGCUUUUGUACGGAACGAAAAGCCUUCUUUUAAUACAGGAGGGUCAUGACGGUACCGUAAGAAUAAGCACCGGCUAACUACGUG